rnacentral:rRNA from 1 species
AGCAGCCACACAUUUAAAGAGUGCGUAAUAGCUCACUGGUCGAGUGAUUUGCGCCGAAGAUGUCCGGGGCUAAACGUGACACCGAAGCGAUGGGUGCAUCUGAAAGGAUGCGCGGUAGAGGAGCAAUGUGCAGAGGCAGAAGCCGUAUCGAGAGGCACGGUGGACACUGCACAAAAGAGAAUGCCGGUAUGAGUAGCGAGAGGCAUGCGAGAAACAUGCCCGUCGAAAGCCCAAGGUUUCCUGGGGAAGGUUCAUCCGCCCAGGGUAAGUCGGGGCCUAAGCCGAGGACGGAAGUCGUAGGCGAUGGACAGCAGGUGUAGAUUCCUGCACUACCGAUGGAAUGAAGCAGUGACACAGAAGGAUAACUCGAGCAGGGUGAUGGUCAACCCUGUGCAAGCAUUGAGGUUGGGUUGUAGUGAAGUACGCAAUCCUAUAAGCUGAGAUGUGAUGCGGACCGAAAUUUCAGUAGGGAAGCGAGUGAGUUCACGCUGGCGAGAAAAGCUGCUAGUACAUCCAAAGGUACCCGUACCGGAAACCGACGCAGGUGGGCGAGGAGAGAAUCCUGAGACGAACGGGAGAACCCUUGUUAAGGAACUCGGCAAAAUGACCCCGUAACUUCGGGAUAAGGGGUGCCUGCGAGAGCAGGCCGCAGAGAAUAGUCACAAGCGACUGUUUAGCAAAAACACAGGUAUCUGCGAAAGCGAGAGCUGACGUAUAGGUGCUGACACCUGCCCGGUGCUGGAAGGUUAAGGGAACAUGUUAGAGCAAUCGAAGCAUCGAACCGAAGCCCCAGUAAACGGCGGCCGUAACUAUAACGGUCCUAAGGUAGCGAAAUUCCUUGUCGGGUAAGUUCCGACCCGCAUGAAUGGUGUAACGACUUGUGAGCUGUCUCAACAGGGGGCCCGGUGAAAUUGAAGUAUGGGUGAAGAUGCCCAUUACCCGCGACUGGACGGAAAGACCCCGUAGAGCUUUACUGCAGCCUGAUAUUGAGUUUCGGUAACUGAUGCACAGGAUAGGUGGGAGUCUGAGAGACAUGGGUUUCGGCUCAUGUGGAGACGGUGUUGGGAUACCACUCUUCGGUUACUGAAAUUCUAACAUAGCUCUGUGAAACCAGAGGAUGGACAGUGUCAGGUGGACAGUUUGACUGGGGCGGUCGCCUCCGAAAGAGUAACGGAGGCGCCCAAAGGUACCCUCAGAAUGGAUGGAAACCAUUCGAAGAGCGCAAAGGCAGAAGGGUGCCUGACUGCGAGAUUGACAAAUCGAGCAGAGACGAAAGUCGGGCUUAGUGAUCCGGCGAUAUUGAGUGGAAAAGCCGUCGCUUAACGGAUAAAAGCUACCUCGGGGAUAACAGGCUGAUCUCCCCCAAGAGUCCACAUCGACGGGGAGGUUUGGCACCUCGAUGUCGGCUCGUCGCAUCCUGGGGCUGAAGCAGGUCCCAAGGGUUUGGCUGUUCGCCAAUUAAAGCGGCACGCGAGCUGGGUUCAGAACGUCGUGAGACAGUUCUGUCCCUAUCCAUCGUGGGCGUAGGAGUCAUGAGAGGAGCUGUUCCUAGUACGAGAGGACCGGAAUGGACGCACCACUGGUGCAACUGUUGUCGUGCCAACGGCAUAGCAGGGAAGCGAAGUGCGGAUGGGAUAAACGCUGAAGGCAUCUAAGCGUGAAGCCCACCUCAAGAAUAAGACUCCACAAUAGACCCCUGGAGGACUACCAGGUAGAUAGGUCAUCGGUGGAAGCGCUGUAAGGCGUGUAGCUUGAUGAUACUAAUCGGUCGAAAGCUUC